rnacentral:rRNA from 1 species
UACGGAGGGUGCAAGCGUUAUCCGGAUUUACUGGGCUUAAAGGGUGUGUAGGCGGCCUUUUAAGUCAGUGGUGAAAUCUCCGGGCUCAACCUGGAAACUGCCAUUGAUACUAUUAGUCUUGAAUUUUGUUGAGGUAGGCGGAAUAAGUCAUGUAGCGGUGAAAUGCAUAGAUAUGACUUAGAACACCAAUUGCGAAGGCAGCUUGCUAAGCAAAUAUUGACGCUGAGGCACGAAAGCGUGGGGAGCAAACAGG